rnacentral:rRNA from 1 species
UACGUAGGGUGCGAGCGUUAAUCGGAAUUACUGGGCGUAAAGCGUGCGCAGGCGGUUCGUUGUGUCUGAUGUGAAAGCCCCGGGCUCAACCUGGGAAUGGCAUUGGAAACUGGCGAGCUAGAGUGUGGCAGAGGGGGGUGGAAUUCCGCGUGUAGCAGUGAAAUGCGUAGAGAUGCGGAGGACACCGAUGGCGAAGGCAGCCCCCUGGGCUAGCACUGACGCUCAGGCACGAAAGCGUGGGGAGCAAACAGG